AUUUGGAGCGAGUCUAAAGAAUAGGUCUACAUCCACUUAUUGUAUGAGUGUUGUUGUUGUUGAUAACAGUCAAUAAGAUGACAGCAGUAGCCCAAG